GCAACUCGCCUGCAUGAAGUCGGAAUUGCUAGUAAUCGCAGAUCAGCAUGCUGUGGUGAAUACGUUCCCGGGCCUUGUACACACCGCCCGUCACACCAUGGGAGUCGGUAACACCCAAAGUUGGUAGUCUAACCGCAAGGAGGACGCCGCCUAAGGUGGGAUUGAUGACUGGGGUGAAGUCGUAACAAGGUAUC
rnacentral:rRNA from 1 species